rnacentral:other from 1 species
AAUUCUAGCAACAGGCAGAGAGAAGUGAGUGGGCAGCCACGUGGUGGAAGAGCAGAGAGCAGAACCAGGUCCUGCACAGGGAGAAACAGAGCUAAAGGGGCUUUGCCUGGGGGGCUCACUGUCCCCCCACCCCCUACCAGUGGUUCACAGUCCUUGCCUUAUCCGAGACUCUCCACCCACUGCAGCAGGUGGACCCUGCCCUGGGACCGGCAGCACCCCGGCACUAUUCCACCCGUUUGGGGACACUU